rnacentral:snRNA from 1 species
AUACUCUGGUUUCUCUUCAGAUCGCAUAAAUCUUUUGCCUUUUACUAAAGAUUUCCGUGGAGAGAAACAACUCUGAGUCUUAAGCCAAUUUUUUGAGGCCUUGCUCUCACAGGGUU